UCCCAGGUGGCUAAGUGGGUAAAGAAACUGCCUCUAAUGCAGGAAACGCCGGAGAUCAGGGUUCGAUUCCUGGGUUGGGAA
rnacentral:tRNA from 1 species